GAGUUUGAUCCUGGCUCAGGACGAACGCUGGCGGCGUGCCUAACACAUGCAAGUCGAACGGGACCAGGGGCAACUCUGGUUCAGUGGCGGACGGGUGCGUAACACGUGAGGAACAUGACCUUCGGCGGGGGAUAGCCGGCCCAACGGCCGGGUAAUACCGCGUACGACCUUUCGGGGACAUCCCUGGAUGGUGAAAGCAGCAAUGCUCCGAUGGAGUGCCUCGCGGCCUAUCAGCUAGUUGGUGGGGUAACGGCUCACCAAGGCAACGACGGGUAGCUGGUCUGAGAGGAUGGCCAGCCACAUUGGGACUGAGACACGGCCCAGACUCCUACGGGAGGCAGCAGUGGGGAAUAUUGCGCAAUGGACGAAAGUCUGACGCAGCGACGCCGCGUGUUGGAUGAAGGUCUUCGGAUCGUAAACCACUGUCGGGAGGGACGAAUACGCCGCAAGGCGGGUGACGGUACCUCCAAAGGAAGCACCGGCUAACUCCGUGCCAGCAGCCGCGGUAAUACGGAGGGUGCGAGCGUUGUCCGGAAUCACUGGGCGUAAAGGGCGCGUAGGCGGCCCGAUAAGUAGGGGGUGAAAUCCUGCGGCUUAACCGCAGGGCUGCCUUCUAAACUGUCGGGCUCGAGCACAGUAGAGGCAGGUGGAAUUCCCGGUGUAGCGGUGGAAUGCGUAGAGAUCGGGAAGAACAUCAGUGGCGAAGGCGGCCUGCUGGGCUGUUGCUGACGCUGAAGCGCGACAGCGUGGGGAAGCAAACAGGAUUAGAUACCCUGGUAGUCCACGCCGUAAACGAUGGCACUAGGCGUCGGGGGGAGCGACCCUCCGGU
rnacentral:rRNA from 1 species